rnacentral:lncRNA from 1 species
ACGUAGGGGAUGCCAAGUGAGAACAAAAAACAGAGCUACUCUGCUCCAUGAAUUCUAAUGGCAGCUCCCAAUUCAGCAUAGCAAAAUUUGUUAGGCAUUGCAAGAUAAACCGAACCCCCUACAUAACUGAAGAUGCAGCAGUUGUGUCAUCUUCACUGGGCACCAGGCGUCGCACUGAUGAUGUCUGACACCUGAAACAUUAUGAAGUAAUCAUUCAGUACAUAUUACUAGGGGGCGAAUGAAAAGGAAAAAAACAGGAGCAAUUUAUAUAGCAACGGACCAGGAUCAGUGAUGCUGACACAGCACACCCUGUUGUACUUUCG